GCCUGGGUGGCUCAGUUGGUUAAGCAUCUGACUUCAGCUCAGGUCACGAUCUCGCAGUCUGUGAGUUCAAGCCCCGCGUCGGGCU
rnacentral:tRNA from 1 species